CAAUUAUGGGUUGAAUCGUCUAUAUAGACCUAACAAGUACUAUAUAUUUACUUAGAACUUUCCAGUUUUGAGUAAAUCCUAAAUUUUUAUUUUUAUUUUGUUUUUUACAACUGUAAUUUGGGAUUUGUAGAAGGAUUCAUAUAUGUGCAUUUGCAAUUUCAAUUUAGUUGUGUAUAACCAUAUCUUAUGGCAUGGGUGGUUAUAUUUCCUUGUUCGAUUACCUUUGGGCUCUGUAUUUUAAAUUUUCGUCAGUUUGGCGACCUAAUAUUUAUUAAUAAACUCGUGGUCGAUUUUCGUCUGGUCAUAGCUGUUUGCUGGAACUGGGGCUUAUUUUUCUUAUUUCGAUCAUAAGUUUCAAAUUAUUAAAUAUGAUAUUGCAUAUUUGUAUGUAGGUAACAUGAAAAAGAAAUCAGUUACUACGAUGAUAUGAACAAGUUGAAAAUGGUGAAAAUGGGUUUGAAAGCGAAACAGAUGGAGCAGGUGAAGGUGAUCAGGAUAUUCCAUCAAUUCUUGUGUUUGAAUUGGUCAUGAGACAAACAAAAAAAAUUGGUGAGCUAGUUGUAAUUUGUGAUAUUUGGAUCUACCUUUAUGUAUUGAAACUAUUUUUUGUCGCUUAAUUGUUGUUGCUGUAAUUUUUAUUUUGAUUCACUUCCUUUUUG
rnacentral:lncRNA from 1 species